GUAUGGAAACCUGGGGAGGAAGAGGGGAGGGAGGGGGGAAUCCUUGUUUAAAAUCCUUUUCAGUAAGAUGAAAGCAGAGUACUUGAUAAGACCACUUUUCUGAGAGUACCUUAUUUUGUUUUAAAAAAUCCUAAACACGUAGCAGUAGAUAGAUCACUAGGAGCACGGCUGUCAUCAUGGUUGAGUAUCGCUGAGAGCCUGCCAUGACCCACUGCUGACCACCAGAGCCCCCAGGCCCUAUACCUGGCUAUUGUUGCAAGCUCACCUGUCCUCCCAGGUGUGCAAACAGCAGAAAAAGAAGCACCAUUCGCUUCCCUUUGCCUUCUCCUUCUGGGCAGGUGUGUGGAUUGUAUCCAGAGGAAAAGGGCAAUUGAAUGGGCAGUGGUGACAGUAGCAAGGAGGUGGGCUUCCCCAAAGAUGUGGGUCCCUUGAGAGCUUCUUGGUGUACUGCAGCUUUGUAAAUAACAGAAGCCUGCAAAAAAGAAGAAGCAUUAGCUUACUAAGGGCCUAGUAGCCCAUUCUGGCUGCAGAGGGAGGGUCAUAUGCUACUAGCCAGUCAGCAAGCUAGUAAAAUGAAUAGCCUUCUCCCAAGCAGACCAUUGAUGGAGUGAGCUGUCCUUGUUCUGCCAGGACACUGACUUGCUUUUAGGGAAUUCCUGGUCACAUACACUGACCAGGCGAGCUGUUAUGAGGCUGGUGUUGCGGAAUCUUCAUUGCUGAAGGUAUUUAAGAGCAAGUUACAGCUGAAUGGGAUUGGGUUGCCUGAGGUGGGCUCAACCCCUAAAGUCAAAGAACUGGCAGGUGGUCUCUUCCUCAGUGCUUCCAAGAGGGUGCUUACAGUGGGUUCAGUGCUUCUCAAACAUGCAAACAUGUCUGUAUUCACCCCUACCUAUAUAUAUAGAGAGAGAGAGAGAUUUACCCCUUCUGAGGAAAGUCCAAUAAGAGGGGGAGAAACUUGUUGGUAAUGACAUGUUUGUGAUAUCUCAAUAACCUUUUAGCAAAUUAAGCUCCCGCCUAGAAGCACCUCUGGUCAUGUAUUCAAAUAUAUCUACCACUUUAACAAAGGCAACUCUAGAUUGGAUGCUUUGCCGUAAUGGCCAGUUGUUGAUAUCAGUGUAAUACAUUAAGGGGGGGAAAGGCCAAGGGGUCAAAAGAAACUCAUACACACAACAAUUGCUUUGCUGCAUGCUUAGGACAGUUUUUGUCUCUAGCAUCAGCCCUUAUUACAGUGUAGGGCUGGAUCUACAUUGAUCUGUUAAACGUUACUAAAUAUAACAUGUAACGUUCAGUGCUGUUUUCCAUUGCCAGUGGUUCACUGCUCUGCAGCACCCUCUGGUGCCACAUUUUAAUAACGCAUUUUUAACAUUAUAAACCACAAGUGUAGAUCUGCCCUGGGAUUCUGCACAGGGCGGGGGGUGGGGGGGUGAUGCCCCACCGGCCCUCACGAGCAGUUUUGUGAUGUUGCAGUGGGGAGCCAGAAAAGUCUCAGCAUAUACAAAAAGCCAACUCUCCAUUAGUUCUUUGGAUCCAGCCAAUGAGUUUCGGGCCAUAUUAAUGCAAGGGCUUUUUAUUUUUAUUUUAUUUAAACAAUACAUGCCCCAAAGGAACAAAAUCUAAAUUAGAUGUGGUGGACAUGUUUGACUUCUGUAAAUUUCCAUCUUUAAAAAAACCCUCACCUUUUUCUUUUAUUUUUCUGUUUAUAAAACUGUACAGAAAUGGAUUUUAUACAUUAAUAUGCAUCCAAUAAUAAAUAUCUGGACUGAAGUACAGUUGCUUUAACACUUAAGAUGACAUAGCUAGAUAAAUAAAUAAAUAAAGCGAAAGAAAGAAAGAGAAGAAGGCUUAUCAGAUCUGAGUGAAAUAUCUUAAUUUUGUGGCAUUAUAUGCAAAAAAAUAAUAAUCUAGGGAAUGUAAUAUUUUCAUUGCUUAAGGCUGUAGUUUAUAUCAUGUCUUCAAAGCUGCUUUUUAAAAGAUGGGCAGAAUCCACCAAGGAGCUACUCUUGUUCAGCUCCCAGUCAUUAAAAUGGAGCAUGUGCAAGAAAAGUUCCUUGAGGAGUGUGCCCAGUGUGUUAAAGCAUCUCAGCAUCGCUGUAGCUACUCUACAGUUAUGGCACUUGUAGCCGUCAUUUCAGGAGCGACAGUGAACUAAGCUUUUACGCUUCACGGCAGAAAUAAAUGUAUAAAGGCAUUUGUUCAAACUUAUGUACCCUCGACACCAUGGGUGUAACUUCACCAAGUUGAAAUGCUUAGCUUUGCAAAAGCUGAAAUGCUUAUGAAUAAAUGUCAAAAGGAGCAAUUCAGAAGAAGCUAGGCUCACCUUCAUCCUAUGGGACUCAACGGCUUUAAACGUUUCUAACAUUUAUUGCAUUGUCCGAAGAGUAAAAAACAACAAUGUCAUAUGGGGGUGGGAAUUAAUUGUCUAACAAACCACAUCCUUCUGAGAAUCCAAGUAACUAUGCUGCGAAGGAGGUACCUAUGUGUUGCAUAACGCAUAGGUUUCCAUGCGCCAGUGAAGGUGUAGGUGUUGCAUGCCAGUAACUUCACCAAGGGCUGGUUCACUUAUCACUUGAUCAUUCCUCAUUUGUUUGCUUAGUACUUAGCAACUCUCACAGCCCGGGGUUCUAUGCUAGGACAGGUGUGUUUAGUGGUUUAAGCAUGCCUAACUCUGCAUAAGAUGAGGCUGUCCCGUUCAAUAUGCAAUCUGUCUCUGUUGUAAAGUUCUGUUGUUUGGGUUGGCAUCAAGUUAUGUGAAAUUUCUGUCAGUGGCGCACAUAUAUCGUCACAGCCGAUAAGUAAUGGUCAUAUGUGUUUGAAGUAGGCCCUAAAUUCAACUCACUGUGCAAACAUACCCUAGGACAGUAUCCUUCAAUCUUGGGUCCCUAGAUGCUGUUGUAUUACAAAACUCUCAUCAUUCUUGACCGUUCGCCAGCAGCAUCUGGGAACCCAAGACUGAAGACACUGCCCUAGAAUGAUGCCCAGGAGUCCCAAGGGCGUGAUGAGGAACAAUAGCAUGGGAACAACCAGUAAUAACGUGGGAACAACCAGUAAUAACCUGGGAACAACCAGUACUGCACCAUAUCCUAAACCUGCUGAGACGUGUUACAGUAUGACAUGGGAGAAGAAAAGGCAUCCUGUGCCCAAGAUCUGUAUCUGUAUCUGUACCAAGAUCUACCCUUGAACUGUUGCAACAUGCUUGGCAGGCAGAGAAUCUGGUGCCAUACUUCCCAACUUGUGCAAGGCAACCAUUAUGCAUGGGUCAAGACGACAGCAGCUUUUGUUGUUCUGAGCCAGCAAAUAGGCUGGGCAGCCUGACCCUAAGCAGCUGCCUUAUCUGGAGUGGCAGAGAUGGAACAAAAGCAAACAGAUUCUGCCUUCCACUGUUCUGUGCGAUGCCAGUACCCUGGUGCCACUUCUGUGCCAUCCCAGCACAGAGGCAACGCAACAUGGAGCUAGGUUCAAGCUCUCUAUUUAGCACGCUUCAAACGGUAGCUGCAAACUCCUCAUCACAAAUAGUGGGUUCCGGGCCUCAAACGUUACCAGCAAAGAAUUGGGUCUUUUUUUUUCUUUUCUUUUUUUAGCUGAAGGUUUACAAUUGUCGAAAUGGUAAUGAGAAUGAACUAUAUGAUAUGUCUGUGCUGCUAUUCAACCAUGAUUCUUUGAACAAAGUUUUAUUUUGUGGCAUCACCCAGUUCCGAGACUUUUCAAAGCUGCUUUAGGUGUAAUUUGAAGUACUCACGUUACAAGGCAUUUAGGUAGAUGCUGACAAUUGAUGUUUUAUUGUGUCUCUGUCCGCUGGGCUUCACAGUAUCGUAAUAGGUGUAUGCCAGAGAAGGCCAGGUGUGCUGUUGAUAGUCUAUAUUUUAUGCAGGUGAUCUUCGGUGUUCCCUCCUCCCAUCUUUGCUGCAGAAUUGUACAGUGUUGUGGCUGCACUAGCUAUAAGGACAGUUGAUACUGCUAAUAGUCAUGUUAAACAUAUUUAGAAAGGUUGAAUGUAUAUAAAAGCUUGAAACUGCCCUUUCCCUGAGCUUUUUCACCGUGACUGGCAGCCUUUCCUGGUUUCACCUGGUACAUUGUUUUGGUUUAGGGGUGGGGAAGCCCUGAAAAACAUUGAAUCAGUAGCACUUUGUCCUUGCACAAGGAACCAAGACUCAAGUGACUCUCCCUAGGCUGUGCCAUAAUUCCACAGCAGAACUGACGUUUCCACAGGAGUCUCUUGCUUGUGUGCUCAUUUAUACUUAUGCACUCAACCAAGCUGGCUCCCAUUAUCCUUGUGCAUAAUAAUUCAGUUCUGAGGGGCCAGUUCUAAAAAAAAUGACAGUGCUGAGAAAAUAACUGCACAUAGAAUGAAUUACAGAAUUGCAGAGUUGGAAGGGACCCUGAGGAUCAUCUAGUCCAGCGCCCUGCAAUGCAGGAGUAUGCAGCUGUCCCAUACUGGGAUCGAACCUGCAACCUUGGCGUUAUCAGUACCAUGCUCUAACCGUGCCACAGGUCCUACUAUGUGAAACUGCUGGAGGUAGUUAACAGUGAAGCUUUUGCGGUCUCUGUGAAUGGGAAGAAGUAAGAAAAUGUCUCCAGAACGGCCCUCCCUGGCCAAAUACAUUGUGUGCAGGCUUCCUAGGAAGCACUGAAGAUUCCCUCAAGAAAGAAAGAGCCCUGGAAGAUGGACCAAACUAUCCUGCCCAAAUACACACACACACACAACACACACACAGUGGAAUCUUCAGUGCCUGCACACACAAACCAGUUUGGUUAGGUUUCAUUCCAGAGCUGUGCUGCUCCAGUGUUAACAAUGAGCUGCAAGCAAAUACACAGGCACCCCUCUUCCCUUCUUCAUCAGUUUCAGGUGUAAUGAAGCCAGCAUCUAAAGAUGGCAGAGUGGCUCUCAACGACAAAUGGGUCAGAGUGCAUUGGGUUUCAGCUUUGUUUCUGGAGGUUUUUGUUUUACCCCAUAUAGGCUACUAAGGACCAAAUUAUAAAUGAUCUUAACUGUUUGAAUGUAUUUGACAUAUGUAUUUUUCACUGAUACUGAGAUAGGGAGGAACGUGAACCAUUCCCUGUUCCUCCAUGGUUCGGAUGAAAAUAGCCAACCCACAGCUAGGGAUGAGAGAGAAACUCCCAUUUGCUUUUUCUAUUUUGAUUUGCACUUCCCCAAACAAUAUGUGAACUGGAACGCAAGCUAUCCUUCAGAAUUCACAUGUCUCCAGCCAAAAUGUAUUAUGUAUGGGGAAUGUACGGGCUUGCAAAGCAAACAAACGUGUACAAUAGGAGAAGCGUGCCCUAAAAUGCUGGUGAGGACUUCUAAAAGUAUCUCAGAUUUAUCAAUGUGACAAACUGGACUUAAGGUUGGAAAUCAGAGCUGACAGCCUUGUCCCAUCCCUAUCUACAGCUGCUUCCCUAGGAGGAAAGCUUCCAUUAAGUGCCAAUGGAAGCUUCCCCGCCAAGUCUGCUAGCAGAUUUUGGGGAGUGAUUUCCACUGGGAACACGGCAAGUGGGAAGAGUUACCCAUCACCCCUUCCCUGAGCACCACUGUCCAUCUCCUGAUCACAAGGCCAGGGCCGUUAUGCAGAAGAAGAAACAGCUUGACGCUGGACCUCCUGUGUGGAUCAGAAGUGUUUGCUGAUGUGGCACUGGGGAUUCGUUUCUGCAGAUAUUGAAUGGCUAUGCAACUGUGGUUUAUGUAAGCCGCUUUUCAAUAGCAGUUAUGGAGGCAAACCCAGUUCCAUUUGACCCCAGAUCAUUGUGGUAUGACGAGCCACUAACUACUUUCCAGUGCUAAACAACAACAGCAAAAUGGAAGCGGCGUACAUGGCUUGGGUUCUAGCGGGAGAGUUAGACAGACCUUCCAUGUUCAGAGGCAGUGGGUGAUGCAGGAGGGCUUCAUUCCACAAAGAGAACCACCAGGGUUUGCAUCAAUAGGAAGGCUGAAACAUUUCUGAAAGCGGCAACAUUUUCUUUUCUAACUGGAUUGAGAGAAAACAAAAGAUGAGUUAAUUUAAUUAGCAGGUUGUUUUUUGUUUGUUUUUUUAAAUCUGCUUAAAGUUAAUGCAGCUUCAUCCAUACACAACAUCCAGCCACGCUGGAACAGUUAAACCAUCAAGGAAGGUCCAUGCAUAAGGGCUGCUGCAACAGUGAUGCACAGAUGUUCCAAGCAGGGCUCAACGGAGACCUGCUACCACCUCCCUCCCUCCCCAUCUAUCCACACACAUGCAGGCAGCAAUCAUGGGACAUUAUGUAUGUUUCUCUCAUCUCCCCACCCAGCCAUCCCUCUAUGCACCUUGCAAACAUUUACUUGCAAGCACAAGUAACUUGCACUGAGCAGAGAGGAAGGCAUGAUGAUGAAAUUGGAGCCUCUCACACAAUUGCUACUUCCCAGUGCACUGCAAGCAGGCUAGCUGUGCAGAUUAGCCAUGCAAGUGGACCGUGCUCCUAUUUUUCUUCUGUUUGGAUUUUAAUUAGCACCAGCAUUGCUGUAAUACACAGAUUUAGUUUAUUUCCGUGUUUUGGAUGUUGUAUGUAAUGUUUUUUUUUAAAAAAAAAAUGUUUGCCUGUAUAUUACCAUUUAUUAAAAUAAUCACAUCGUUUUAUUUUAAAGUCGACAUAAAUCAUGCUGCCAUUAAACGUUCCAUGUCUUCAGCUAAUUUUGUGUGAGAGAGAAAUAAAAUAAAGCACACUGUGAGAUGUCGGCUUUUGGUUUGAUUCCGAGUACUGGAAAAUUAACGUGCUGUUUCCAUAGACCGUGGCCUAAUAAUUAAAGCGAGGCCAAAACAUCCAUUUCCACUUGGCAAU